UACGUAGGUGGCAAGCGUUGUCCGGAUUUAUUGGGUUUAAAGGGUGCGUAGGCGGCCCUGUAAGUCAGUGCUGAAAUAUCCCAGCUUAACUGGGAGGGUGGCAUUGAUACUGCGGGGCUAGAGUACAGAUGAGGUAGGCGGAAUUGACGGUGUAGCGGUGAAAUGCUUAGAUAUCGUCAAGAACACCUAUUGCGAAGGCAGCUCACUAAGCUUUAACUGACACUGAGGCACGAAAGUGUGGGGAUCAAACAGG
rnacentral:rRNA from 1 species